UUGGUUAAAGUUUGGUCAGGAUUUGGUUAGGAUUUAGUUAGGAUUUGUUUAGAAUAUGGUUAGGAUUUGUUUAGAAUUUAUUUAGGAUUUGUUUAGGAUCUGGUUAGGAUUUGUUUAGAAUUUAGUUAGGAUUUGUUUAGGAUCUGGUUAGGAUUUGUUUAAGUUUUGGUUAGGAUUUGUUUAAAAUUUGUUUAGAAUUUAUUUAGGAUUUAAUUAGAAUUUGGUUAAGAUUUAUUUAGAAUUUGUUUAAGAUUAGGUUAAGAUUUAUUUAGGAUUUGUUUAGAGUUAGGUUAGGAUUUAUUAAGAGUUAGGUUAGGAUUUGUUUAAGAUUUGUUUAGGAUUUGAUUAGAAUUUAUUUUAGAUUUAUUUAGAAUUUGGUUAGGAUUUGAUUAGGAUUUGUUUAGGAUUUAUUUAGGAUUUGUUGAGGGUUUAAUUUGGAUUUGAUUAAGAUUUGUUUAAGAUUUAUUUAGAUUUCAUUUAAGAUUUGAUUAGGAUUUGAUUAGGAUUUGAUUAAAACUUGAUUAGGAUUUGGUUAGGAUUUGAUUAAGAUUUGAUUAGAGCUUGAUUAGGAUUUGAUUAGGAUUUGAUUAGGAUUUGAUUAAGAUUUGAUUAAGAUUUGAUUAGGUUUUUUUUUAAAAUUUGGUUAGAAUUUGUUUAGGAUUUGUUUAGGAUUUAUUUUGGAUUUAUUAGGAUUUGGUUAGGAUUUGGUUAGGAUUUGAUUAAGAUUUGAUUAGGAUUUGUCUAUAAUUUGGUUAGAAUUUGGUUAAGAUUUUAUUAGAUUUUAUUUAGAGUUUGAUUAGGAUUUAUUAGGAUUUGAUUAGGUAUUAGUUAAAAUUUUUUUAAGAUUUUAUUAGUAUUUGGUUAGGAUUUGUUAGGAUUUGAUUAGGAUUUAUUUAGGAUUGAUUAAAAUUUGAUUAUGAUAUUGAUUAGACUUUGGUUAGGAUUUGAUUAAGAUUUGAUUAGGAUUCAAUUAAGAUUUCUAUUUUAAUAUUUUGUUAAGAUU
rnacentral:lncRNA from 1 species